AAUCAACGCUGGCGGCGUGCCUCAGACAUGCAAGUCGAACGAUUAAAGCUCUCUUCGGAGAGUGUAUAAAGUGGCGCACGGGUGAGUAACACGUAAGUAAUCUACCUUCGAGUGGGGAAUAACGUUCGGAAACGGACGCUAAUACCGCAUAAUGCAGCGGCACCUAAUGGUGACAGUUGUUAAAGGAGCAAUUCGCUUGAAGAGGAGCUUGCGGCAGAUUAGCUAGUUGGUAAGGUAACGGCUUACCAAGGCUACGAUCUGUAACCGGUC
rnacentral:rRNA from 1 species